rnacentral:rRNA from 1 species
GAUGAACGCUAGCUACAGGCUUAACACAUGCAAGUCGCGGGGCAGCAUGGGGGUUGCUUGCAAUCCCCUAUGGCGACCGGCGCACGGGUGAGUAACGCGUAUCCAACCUGCCCUUCACCACGGGAUAACCCGGCGAAAGUCGGACUAAUACCUUAUGUUGUCCAUUGACGGCAUCCGAUUUGGACGAAAGGUUUUGCGGUGGGGGAUGGGGAUGCGUCCGAUUGGCUGGACGGCGGGGUGACGGCCCACCGUGGCGGAGAACGGUCGGGGUUCUGAGAGGAAGGUCCCCCAGACUGGAACUGAGACACGGACCAGACUCCUACGGGAGGCAGCAGUGAGGAAUAUUGGUCAAUGGGCGUAAGCCUGAACCAGCCAAGUAGCGUGCAGGAUGACGGCCGUAUGGGCUGUAAACUGCUUUUAUGCGGGGAUAAAGUGGCCCACGUGUGGGUUUUUGCAGGUACCGCAUGAAUAAGGACCGGCUAAUUCCGUG